rnacentral:rRNA from 1 species
UCAGCAGCCGCGGUAAUACGAAGGGGGCGAGCGUUAUCCGGAUUUACUGGGCGUAAAGCGCGUUAAGGCGGCCGACAAAGUUGGUGGUGAAAUUUCAGGGCUCAACCCUGAAACUGCCUCCAAUACUGGUCGGCUUGAGUGCGAUAGAGGAAGGUGGAAUUCCCGGUGUAGUAGUGAAAUGCGUAGAUAUCGGGAGGAACACCGGUGGCGAAGGCGGUUCUCUGGGCAUUACCUGACGCUGAGGAGCGAAAGCAUGGGGAGCGAACAGGGUUAGAUACCCUGGUAGUCCAUGCCGUAAACGUUGGGCGCUAGGUGUGGGGACCUUCCACGGUCUCCGUGCCGCAGCUGACGCAUUAAGCGCCCCGCCUGGGGAGUACGGCCGCAAGGCUAAAACUCAAAGGAAUUGACGGA